GCAGCCUUUUAUACCCCUCUUCUCAGUGAAUCCCGCCAGACGCUCAUUUUCCACGAAACACCAUUUUCCUGAGCCAUUUUCAAUUUUCAUUCCUUUUUCUUUUCAACUGUCAAUAGCCAUUUUUUUAUUCUAUUGUGAAUUCUCAUUUCAGCUCACCCCGGAGUAGUAGUAGGUUCCCACCUACUCGGCAAUCAGAGGGCUGCCUAGUCACUUCUUAGCCUGAGUCACCCUGUCAUUCACUACCUUUAUAAUACUCUUUAACUCAACCCUGUUCGAGCCUAAUUUCGUACGUAGCGAACCCUAACAAACCAUUUCCGGCAUUUUGAUCCCAUCGCCACCCAGACUACACACCCCGCAGAAAUUACAAGCAAAUUGAAAUCUCGAAGCAUCCUCACCAUCCUCACUAAAAACCCAGGAAAACUGAGCAGAUCCAUUUGAGGACCAAUUAUGGGAUGCACUACCAACAGAAUUGGGAUAAUUUCUGCGGUGGUUGUGGACAGGUUUUGCCAAAAAACACGGCCCCAUAUAUUUGUUGCCUUAUUGCGCCGCAUGUGAACGGCCUGCAACAAAACUUCAACUUCGGCCAGAAAAUCGAGGACGGAGGUGAUGUGCAGGGCCGCAUAACUCAUUUACGUGGGGACUUCCCACUCCCUGAAGGUCUCAUGCCGGGCAUAAGCUCCGAACAGCAGGCUGGUCUAAGCCCUCCCCCUCAUGCUGAUCUGUGAAACAUGUCUUGCUGGUUCGCCUGAUAAUUCUCGAUCCGACACCCUGAAAAUAUCGUGUCACUACCAAACAUCGAUCGAGUUCCCCUAUAGCAGGUCAACAUUUGGGAAGAUCAAAAACGCUCAUAAAUUUUAAAAUACGCAUUCAUUCAUUUAUAAAAUCCCGCAUUCAGUAUUUCUACUAAGACAAGCUCAGAGGAACGGAUGGGAUUUAUCGGCCCACUCCUUUGGGACCUUCACUACAAAAAGGUAAACAUCCGGAACAACCCAAUAAUUCUAUCAACCUAAGAUCUUGUGUGGAGUUGGAAUAUAUUUGUCCUCUCCGGCGGAUCUACACUGGUAAUACCCACCAGCUCUCAAUGAAAAAUUCUCCGAUUCCAUCAAAAUUUCACACAUUCUUCUUGGUUAUGGAUAUAAUCUUCAAAGUUGGAAUCUAUACGUACUUUGAUACACAAAUAAUUUGAUCAAAUUAUUGAAAUCAUGGUACAAUAAAAAGGUAAGGUGGUGAAACAUUUUGCAUGCGGAAAUAUUUGUGCCUAUGCCUGUCUUGUCGUCGUGGUUGCCGAAGAACGGAUUUUGUAUGCGGUAUAUGCUGAUGUGAUUGAUAGGUAAACAAAUACCAUAAUCGUGGUGUCUACGUGAUUGUCUGGUAGAAUGUAGUUUUAUGUAUGUUCGCUUUUUAUGUAUGGGAAUCUUUCAUUAAUUUAUGCCGGAAUAAACCAGAUUGUGCUAUUUUUAUCGCCA